rnacentral:misc_RNA from 1 species
GAACGCACAUUGCGCCCCAUGGUAUUCCGUGGGGCAUGCCUGUCUGAGCGUCAGCAACACCACUCAAGCAUAGCUUUAUUGCCUUGCUUGGACUAUAUCAGAGAAGCAGUUUGUUUACUAACCGCCCUCUGGAAAUUGAUAGAUGGUCAGGUUGUCACACUAUGCCAAACGUCAUAUGAUUUACAUCGUUCGUUUGCAUUGGUUGAUAUCUUGAUAGUCAUUGAACCCACAGUGUAUGCUGUUUUUUUUCUGACUUGACCUCAGAUCAGGUAGGGAUACCCGCUGAACUUAAG